rnacentral:lncRNA from 1 species
GCUGCCGGCUGGGUGGCCCGCGAGCUGCACCCGGAUCUGCUCGGCGGCGGCGACGUGAGCGCGCAGGGGGGCGGCGGCCUCGCCUCGUCUCUCUCUCUGCGCCUGGGUCGGGUGGGUGACGCCGAGAGCCAGAGAGAUGUCGGAUUUCGACAGUAACCCGUUUGCCGACCCGGAUCUCAACAAUCCCUUCAAGGAUCCAUCAGUUACACAAGUGACAAGAAAUGUUCCACCAGGACUUGACGAAUAUAAUCCAUUCUCGGAUUCUAGAACAGUAAGAUUAUUCUUGCUUUUAAAUGUUUAAAAUGAAAUUCAAUAGGAAUUAUAUUUCAA